AGACGACUUUGAACUCUGGUGGCUGGCGGAGCUUGGGGACGAGGGUUGUACCAAAGGCGGCCUCGCAACCUUAAUUUCUCACUGCUUUAGCCUUGGUUGAUUCAGAAAGUCAAAGGUUUUGAAUUCUGGUUCCUGAAACAGGUGAAUUAUCUGAUGAGGGGUCCUUGGAGAGCGAAGGGGGAUGUCAACUACGGCUUUCUAGGGAGCAAAGAUACUUAAGCUAAAUGGAUAAGAAGAAGAAAGUGCACCAAAAAAGGCUUUCUAGUCAACUUCACCUUAAACCAAUAGAUUCAGAUGCUUUGCAGUUCAUGGUAAAAAAGAAGAAUGUACUUAUUGAAGAUAAAGAUCAUGAAAAUGGCAAAAUUCAUCCACUACCAAGUACUCCAUGGAUUCCUCCUAAAAACAUUUCAGAUAUGUAUGACAAAAUGAAUAAAAAAACCCCUGCAAAGCCAGAUGAGAAGGUGGAAACCAAGCCAAAAAUAAGGUAAAUUAAGAUAGAAUUGGAAAACAAGUAUGAGAUUUCUCCCCCUUCCUGUGGAAGAGG
rnacentral:lncRNA from 1 species